UCUUUUUGCUUCAUUUCUAGGGGGUCUACAUACCUGCUUUUGGAACAUUUACUUUUAUGAGACAAAAACUAGAUGCUGGGAACAGGUUUAGCUUUAUCCAGAUACUGAUCUUUAUAAUGUCAGAGAAGCUAUUGCAGCUACAUGGACUAUGACAAACUAAGAUCCACACACCUGGGGAUAUCCCCAUUGUGCCACUGAAUUUUUUCAUGGUUGCCAUAGUGGAGCAUUAUAGGAGGGAUAUAGUCAAAGGAUGCAUUAAAGAAACUCUGCAGCUCUUGUCACGAUCAAUCUGCACAUGAAAGAAAGCUGAAUUUACUUUCCAAGGAA